ensembl:rRNA 5S_rRNA 5S ribosomal RNA
CACACCACCCUGAUCAUGCCGCAUCUCAGCAGGUCUCAGAAACUCAGCGGGGUCUGGCCAGGUUGGUACUUGGAUGGGAGACUGAGACUAUCAGGGUUAAAAAAAAA